AUGUCUUCUUGAAUUAAUAUAAUAGGAAGUCUAGCCUGCCCUGUGAUAACAAUUUAACGGCCGCGGUACUCUGACCGUGCGAAGGUAGCAUAAUCAUUUGUCUUAUAAUUGAAGUCUGGAAUGAAUGGUUGAACAAGGGUGAGACUGUCUCUAUUUUAGAAGUAAAAUUUUAUUAUUAGGUUAAAAAGCUUAAAUAAAAUUAGAAGACGAGAAGACCCUAUCGAGCUUUAAGUACUUUAUAAAAUUUUUGACAUAUAUGAAAUAAAAAAGUUUAUUAAAAAUUUUGGUUGGGGCGACCUUGGAACAAUAAAAACUUCCAAUAAAAUUUAUGUUUAAUUAAUAUAUGAUCCGUUAACUAACGAUAAUAAAAAUUAGUUACCGUAGGGAUAACAGCAUUAUCUUUUUUGAGAGUUCAAAUCGAAAAAUAGGUUUGUGACCUCGAUGUUGGACCAAAAUAACCUGAAGAUGUAGAAGUCUUUAAAGGUUGGUCUGUUCGACCAUUAAAAUUUUACGUGAUCUGAGUUCAGACCGG
rnacentral:rRNA from 1 species